UCCUAACUAUUUUCCUCCUGACACCCUUCUUCUUCGAGUCCCUCAGCGGCAGCGCAAGCCCCCUCCAACCCUAUCCCUCCGCCGCACCAGGCCGAUGCCGCCGCCCGCCGAUGAUGAUUGGCGAGCUCCUAGAGGAUCUACUCCUUACUUAGACAGUAGCCGCUGAUACAGCACGCCGCCCGCCCGACCGCGAACCCCCUUGCAACGGCGACGUAUCCAUGACCACGGUGAUCACUUUGGAGCUGUAGCCAUUUUUUUGCGACAAAGCUGUAGAAGAAAUUUAGAUGCCAAACCAGAUCAAGUUUGAGCAUAUGUAAGCCUGGUUACUCCGUACUUUGAUUCUGAAGCAUGUGUGAGGCUGCUGUAUUUUUGGACAGUGGAUUUAUAGAGAUUGUGACUGUCACACAGGGAAGACAUUUGAUUUCCUGUGUUCUUUGGGUCCACAUUGUUCCUCGGGCGUUAUGCUUACGGAAAUAUAUGUUCUCACGCUGAUGUAUUCCUCCGAUGGUAGGCAUCGGAGUAGAGUAGGAACUAAAGUUUAAACUACAUAAUUUCUCCCUAACGUCUGGCCUAGAAGCAAUGAUCUCACUCCUGACUUUGUAACUUUCACGUCAAGAUCCAGUGAUGGAGGGGAGCAGUGCGACGUUGCCUUUAGUAAAGCUGAUAGUUCCAAUUAUCUCAGCAUGUGCACCAGCACUAUCAGUGCUCAAAAUCAACAUUAAUUCCUCAAUGCUUCUCAUUGAUGAUUCUAGUAUACCGAAAAAGAAACAAUCAUUCUCUCAAGAGGACAAGAAGCUCGAUGAACAAGAAGCAUUGCAUCUAGAGGCAACUGUCGUGUGCCAUCAAGAUAUCAACGUUGAUGCAAUUUUUAAUGGCAAUUCUUGUUGAGCAAUGAUUAUUAUACUCCUUCAGACUUAGCCUUGCCCAUUAUGUACCAAAGCUGAUGCAAUUUUCACUAGCAAGGCUUGUUGAUCCUGUCAUGUUAUUUAUAACUUGAUAUGAAUGUAUUUUGUUAUGUCUGGGAUGUUCCACUUUGACAUGUACUAAACAAAUUAGUAUUUGUGCCUGGAAUGAUCCAUUUUAACAUAAAGUGCCUGUGCCUAUGAGGGUGGCUUAAUUUUUGUCA